UCGAGAAUUUUUCACAAUGGGCGAAAGCCUGAUGGAGCGACGCCGCGUGGGGGAUGAAUGGCUUCGGCCCGUAAACCCCUGUCAUUCGCGAGCAAUGCCUUCCCGAUAAUACCGGGACGGUUGAUCGUAGCGAAAGAGGAAGGGACGGCUAACUCUGUGCCAGCAGCCGCGGUAAUACAGAGGUCCCAAGCGUUGUUCGGAUUCACUGGGCGUAAAGGGUGCGUAGGUGGUGAGGUAAGUUCGAUGUGAAAUCUCCGGGCUCAACCCGGAAAAGGCAUUGAAUACUAUCUUGCUCGAGGUUUGGAGGGGGGACUGGAAUUCUCGGUGUAGGAGUGAAAGGCGGAGAUAUCGAGAGGAACACCGGUGGCGAAGGCGAGUCCCUGGACAACACCUGACACUGAGGCACGAAAGCUAGGGGAGCAA
rnacentral:rRNA from 1 species